rfam:Bacillus lehensis G1, complete genome.
AUGUCCUUUAAGCAUAGUCCUGUGAGGCUAGCAAGGAGUCGGUGAAUUUGGAUGCGUCUGUCUAAAUCCCUAGCUGCUCCUUUAAGGACAGCUAGGGAUUUUUUCGU